AUGUAUAUAUAUAUAUAUAUAUAUAUAUAUAUAUAUAUAUAUAUAUAUACACAAUUUCUCCUAAUUGGUGCCUUCGGAGCCAGUGGCAUUAGUCUAAUUGGUGCCUUCGGAGCACGAUAA
rnacentral:rRNA from 1 species